CGCAGAAGCUGCAGUUUGGUUUUAUCUUUGUCUUCACCGGCACUGGGAUGAAGAUAGGAAUUCUGGCAAUGAUGGCUAAAAAAAAUUAUGUAACAUUCCAGCAGGUACUAAGAAAACAAUUUUCUGGACAAUUUACAUUAUCCUGAACAGAAUUAUUAAAUAUAAUGAAAAGGAAAGGUGAAAGUAAACAAACAGAUCUGUUAACCUCCUUUUUUGUUCACAUAUUAAAACAAUCCUCAACAGCAGUUUACCCAAUUUAAAUUAAACCAUUUAAAUCACGUGAAUAAAAAAAAUUUGGAUCCAUUUUUUCAUGAGCGCUCCUCAUAUAUGAUAUAUGGACAUACGCAUAUACAGACAUACAACACAAAACAGAAGUGUGCACACAUAACACAAUACAUACAACACAUAACAUAAUAGUAAAGGCCUUGUAGCUUUUCACAGGUGAAAUCUCCAUUACAAUGUUUAAAAACUCCACAGUCAAAAAAUAGAACUGAUCAGAAAAACAUUAACCUAGGUCUGUAUGAGCUCAAAAAUAAAAUAAAACUUCAUGAUGUGGGAAAAGGCAAUAAUAAAAUAAAAUAGAUAUUGAAAAAAAGCUUCCUGGUUACCACCUAGGUUUGACUCUUCUUUCUGUAACUUGCAUAAUGGGUCUGAAGGUAUUCCCACAAGCAAGCCCCAAGGUUUCUUACAUUUGAAAUAGGCUUUAAUGGUGUUCAUUAUUCAUUAGCCUCCAGGUGUGGGAGAACCACUGUCACAG
rnacentral:lncRNA from 1 species